AGUGAACGCUGGCGGUAGGCCUAACACAUGCAAGUCGAACGGCAGCACAGGAGAGCUUGCUCUCUGGGUGGCGAGUGGCGGACGGGUGAGGAUUACAUCGGAAUCUACUCUGUCGUGGGGGAUAACGUAGGGAAACUUACGCUAAUACCGCAUACGACCUACGGGUGAAAGCAGGGGACCUUCGGGCCUUGCGCGAUUGAAUGAGCCGAUGUCGGAUUAGCUAGUUGGCGGGGUAAAGGCCCACCAAGGCGACGAUCCGUAGCUGGUCUGAGAGGAUGAUCAGCCACACUGGAACUGAGACACGGUCCAGACUCCUACGGGAGGCAGCAGUGGGGAAUAUUGGACAAUGGGCGCAAGCCUGAUCCAGCAAUACCGCGUGGGUGAAGAAGGCCUUCGGGUUGUAAAGCCCUUUUGUUGGGAAAGAAAUCCAGCUGGCUAAUACCCGGUUGGGAUGACGGUACCCAAAGAAUAAGCACCGGCUAACUUCGUGCCAGCAGCCGCCGUAA
rnacentral:rRNA from 1 species